GGUCUUGUAGCUCAGUUGGCUAGAGCGUUGGCUGUACUAAAGCCUUCCCCUUGCUGGCGUGUGUUCGAAUCACAGCGAGGCCA
rnacentral:tRNA from 1 species